AUUGAACGCUGGCGGCAGGCCUAACACAUGCAAGUCGAGCGGAUGACGGGAGCUUGCUCCUUGAUUCAGCGGCGGACGGGUGAGUAAUGCCUAGGAAUCUGCCUGGUAGUGGGGGACACCGUUUCGACAGGAACGCUAAUACCGAAUACGUCCUACGGGAGAAAGCAGGGGACCUUCGGGCCUUGCGCUAUCAGAUGAGCCUAGGUCGGAUUAGCUAGUUGGUGAGGUAAUGGCUCACAAAGGCGACGAUCCGUAACUGGUCUGAGAGGAUGAUCAGUCACACUGGAACUGAGACACGGUCCAGACUCCUACGGGGGGCAGCAGUGGGGAAUAUUGGACAAUGGGCGAAAGCCUGAUCCAGCCAUGCCGCGUGUGUGAAGAAGGUCUUCGGAUUGUAAAGCACUUUAAGUUGGAAGGAAGGGCAGUAAGUUAAUACCUUGCUGUUUUGACGUUACCGACAGAAUAAGCACCGGCUAACUCUGUGCCAGCCGCCGCGGUAACAC
rnacentral:rRNA from 1 species